GGGGGCAUGGCGCAAUUGGUAGCGCAUCUGCUUUGCAAGCAGAGGGUUCCCCUUGCCUCCACCG
rnacentral:tRNA from 1 species